UGCAGUUUAUACUUUCUCUUACAAACAUAAAAAUUGAAAAUUGAAUAGAAUAGAAUAGAAUAGUAUUAAUCAGAGACUAAGAGCCUGGCAAUUCGGUAUAUUAAGAAUGAAAAAGAUUCUUUCAAUGCAUGACCUCCGUUUAUCUUUGCUAUUGAGGAAUGUAUCGCUUCAUUAAAGUGAAUUACUCAUCCAAGGCGUAAAUUCAAUGAUUACUCAUUAUCUUGAUCCAGAAUGAACUUCUUUUCAAUGCUCAAAAGUUAUAUGACUGACUUAUCUGGCUAAGGUAAUAUUAAAUAGAGCUAUGACAAACAAAGGUGUAUUGAUAGUAUAACCUCUAAAACCUUC